UUGGUCCUGGCCUUAUCAUCAGCUUACCCCUGACUUACACAUGCAAGUAUCAGCACACCCGUGAGAACGCCCUUACAACCUUACUAGGACAAGGAGCCGGUAUCAGGCACAGAUUAUCUAGCCCAUGACACCUAGCUUUGCCACUCCCUCAAGGGUACUCAGCAGUGAUUAACAUUGUUCAUAAGCGCCAGCUUGACUCAGUCAAGGGGUUUAGAGCCGGCCAAUACGGUGCCAGCCGCCGCGGCUACACCGCUAGGCUCAAGUUGAUUUUAUGCGGCGUUAAGCGUGUUUAAAGUGCCAAAAAAGACUAGAAUUAAAAUAUAACUAAGCUGUGACACGCUUGUUAAUAAGAAAAACAGAUACGAAAGUUAUUCUAACCAACCCACUUGAACCCACGACAGCUAAGACACAAACUGGGAU
rnacentral:rRNA from 1 species